ensembl:lncRNA novel transcript
AGAGGGAGGAGAAGGCCGAGGACCAAACUUGCAGAACACCCACAUGUGAGGGGCAACCAAAAGCAGCUGCCUGUGAAGGAGAUUGAGGAGUCAAGCCACACAAACUCAAAACUGUAAACAUCAUUGGGAGCCUUAGACAGUCUAGCUCAGUUGGAGUUGGAUUUGACUAUAUGUAACAGAAACCCAACUACAGUGUACUAACAGACUUCUUAUUCAGAGGCAGGCAGUCCAAGGCUGAUGCCCAAAGAAGCCAUCAAGACCCGUGCUACUUCCAGCUCCUUCUGUCCUCAUAAUCAUAGAUGAUUGCUCCACAUCCAGCACCUAACACCAGUACUCAGUUAAAUUUUUUGCUGAAUAAAUCAAUGAAUGGAGAGGUAAAGAGGAACCAGAAGUUGGGGUUACAGAAGUCACUGAUGGAAGAGUUUCAAGAUAGUAGAAGUGGUCAGCCCUGUUAAGUGACAAGCCAAGGACUGAAGAAAGACUGGCAGAUUUGGCAAUCAGAUGAAGUGACCUGACCAAAGAGCAGCUUGUGUGAAGUAGUGAGGACAGGCGCUGGUCUGCGACUGGUUUAGGAGGAAAUGGAAAUGAAGAAGAAGAGAUAGGAAAGUGGAGAUUAUAUGAUGACAAGUAUCAAGAUAAAAAUGAACACAUUUGGCCUGCUACCUGAAUUUUUUAAAUCGGCUCACCAAAAAAUAUCAGGCUUAUUGAAAUAUUGGAAUAUCUGAUGAAGUUUCCUCUUAUCUUUGAGCUGUUUGGGUUUGGGUAAAAUUUCAAUGCUUAAAAUUCACGUCUACAACUAGCAGGCAGAACCUUAAAGUCCAGAACCAUUAAAGGGUUUAAUAAUGGUGAGG